ensembl:snoRNA Small nucleolar RNA SNORA35
GAGCACUGAAAAUUGGCUGGACUUCCUUGUUUGUGGUUUUCCAAUCUCAUCUCAGUGCCAGAGCGACCUCAGUUUGCAGAAGGGUUGAGCUAAACCAUUGGCUCCCCCCUUUCGAAGGCUGAGAACAAAC